UGGUUCUGGCAUNGAUGAAGAACGCAGCGAAAUGCGAUAAGUAAUGUGAAUUGCAGAAUUCAGUGAACCAUCGAAUCUUUGAACGCAUAUUGCGCCCUUUGGUAUUCCGAAGGGCAUGCCUGUCCGAGCGUCAUUAUCCACCAUCAAGCAUGGCUUGUCAGUUGGGUCCUUGCCGUCAAGGCAGGCCUGAAAGUCAGUGAUGGCGCCGAGAUCCAGCCCCAGACGUAGCGAGCCUUUUGAGCAGCGUCAUGGAGGCUGGCGGGUGCCGUCUUUAUCCAACUUUAAGAUUGACCUCGGAUCAGGUAGGGAUACCCGCUGA
rnacentral:misc_RNA from 1 species